UGCCCCAGUAACGGCGAGUGAAGCGGCAACAGCUCAAAUUUGAAAUCUGGCCCCCCCCGCGGGGCCCGAGUUGUAAUUUGCAGAGGAUGCUUUUGGCGCGGCGCCUUCCGAGUUCCCUGGAACGGGACGCCAUAGAGGGUGAGAGCCCCGUCUGGUCGGACGCCCAGCCUCUGUAAAGCUCCUUCGACGAGUCGAGUAGUUUGGGAAUGCUGCUCUAAAUGGGAGGUAUAUGUCUUCUAAAGCUAAAUAUUGGCCAGAGACCGAUAGCGCACAAGUAGAGUGAUCGAAAGAUGAAAAGCACUUUGAAAAGAGGGUUAAACAGUACGUGAAAUUGUUGAAAGGGAAGCGCUUGUGACCAGACUUGGGCGCGGCGAAUCAUCCGGCGUUCUCGCCGGUGCACUUCGACGCGCCCGGGCCAGCAUCAGUUCGCGGCGGGGGACAAAGGCGCCGGGAACGUGGCUCCCCCGGGAGUGUUAUAGCCCGGCGCGCAAUGCCCCGCGGCGGACUGAGGUUCGCGCAUCCGCAAGGAUGCUGGCGUAAUGGUCACCAGUGACCCGUCUUGAAACACGGACCAAGGAGUCGUCCUCGUAUGCGAGUGUUCGGGUGUCAAACCCCUACGCGCAAUGAAAGUGAACGCAGGUGAGAGCCUCACGGCGCAUCAUCGACCGAUCCUGAUGUUCUCGGAUGGAUUUGAGUAAGAGCAUACGGGGCCGGACCCGAAAGAAGGUGAACUAUGCCUGUGUAGGGUGAAGCCAGAGGAAACUCUGGUGGAGGCUCGCAGCGGUUCUGACGUGCAAAUCGAUCGUCAAACAUGGGCAUGGGGGCGAAAGACUAAUCGAAC
rnacentral:rRNA from 1 species